rnacentral:misc_RNA from 1 species
GAUGAAGAACGUAGUGAAAUGCGAUAAGUAAUGUGAAUUGCAGAAUUCAGUGAAUCAUCGAAUCUUUGAACGCACAUUGCGCCCGCCAGUAUUCUGGCGGGCAUGCCUGUUCGAGCGUCAUUUCAACCAUCAAGCCCCGGGCUUGUGUUGGGGACCUGCGGCUGCCGCAGGCCCUGAAAAGCAGUGGCGGGCUCGCUGUCACACCGAGCGUAGUAGCAUACAUCUCGCUCUGGGCGUGCUGCGGGUUCCGGCCGUUAAACCACCUUUUAACCCAAGGUUGACCUCGGAUCAGGUAGGAAGACCCGCUGAACUUAAGCAUAUCAAUAAGCGGAGGA